rnacentral:rRNA from 1 species
UACGUAGGCAGCGAGCGUUGUUCGGAGUUACUGGGCGUAAAGGGUGCGUAGGCGGCCAUGUAAGUGAGGUGUGAAAUCCCUCGGCUCAACCGAGGAACUGCGCUUCAUACUGCAUGGCUUGAGGGAGACAGGGGUAAGCGGAACUGAUGGUGGAGCGGUGAAAUGCGUUGAUAUCAUCAGGAACACCGGUGGCGAAAGCGGCUUACUGGGUCUCUUCUGACGCUGAGGUACGAAAGCUAGGGUAGCGAACGGG